CAACGCCGCGUGCACGAUGAAAGGCCUUCGGGUUGUAAAGUGCUUUUUGAGAGGAUGAGGAAGGACAGUACUCUUAGAAUAAGCUUCGGCUAACUACGUGCCAGCAGCCGCGGUAAUA
rnacentral:rRNA from 1 species